CUUUGGCUCCUGGGGAUCCACCUGCAGCCCACAGGGGCCUGGAAGUGCCGGGGGACCAUGGUCCUGAACACCCAGAGACUUGGCAGAACAUCAGCUGAUGCUGCUCCCUUUAAAACACUUUUGACUGCUCUCUGGUUUGGCUACUGUUCGUUAGUUGAUGCUGAAACUGUUCUUACUGAAGUUUGAUUGAUAGCCUUAGACGGCCUUCUGCUUCAAAUUGAGGCUGACAACAUUGACUCUCCUGGUUCUCAGACCUCUGGAUAUGAGACCUCUGGCGCAACUCACCCCUGGCUUGCACCAAACAUUCUUAAAAUGUUUAUUGGGGUCAGGUGCAAUGGCUCGCACCUGCAAUCCCAGCGCUUUGGGAGGCCAAGGCAGGAGGACUGCUUGAGGCCAGGAGUUCAAGACCAGCCUGUACAACAAGACAAUUUGGCCAGGAAGUGACCAGCAAUGGAAAAAGGGAAAUAAUCAGCACAUCUGCAUGUGUGCCCAUCUCAGAGACACAAACUGUGAAUAACAACUCACUUGGCUUCAUAACCAAGACCUACUCUGAGGAAUUGCAUCUCUUCCUUGGAGACCUUGAUUGGCCUGCUAGGUUAAAGGCAUUUCACUAAAUUCUUGGAGGAGUCUGAGAGAACUUGGGGGUGCUUGAGGAACCCAAAGGUGUGAAGUAAAAGCUGGAAACCAAGAUUGCUGGGAAAGUUCAGAGAAAGUAGAGAUUACUUCGUUUGUUGGAGAUCACAUGCAAGGGAGUCUACUCCGAGAUCAAAGGCAACCUAUAGCAAUUUAUGAGAAAUGAAGGAAGUGGGAGAGAUGCUAAGUUACUUUAAGGGAUGUUCUGAAAUCAUGAAUCUAGCUGGAAUAGCUGGUGUUGGCUGUGUCCAGAAGAGCUGGGACAAGUAUAGACA
ensembl:lncRNA LINC01517 long intergenic non-protein coding RNA 1517